CAGGGCGGUUCGGCCGCGCGCCGCGGGCAGCCACCCGCCGCAGCGCGACCGCUCGCGGACGGAUCCCCUCCCCUCCCCUAAUCUCGCCAUGCCUUUCCCCACCACCACCGCCCCCCCGGGGCCUUCCCGGCCCCGCCCUCACCCUAGCCAGCGCCACGCCGCCAGUAGCGGUAGCAUUAGCCGUAGAGGAAGGCUAGGACGCAUAGGAAGAACAGGAGGAGGAGGAGGAGGAGGAGGAGGAGAGGUGGGGGGUAGGAGGACGGAGGAGGAGGAGGCAGGCUGCCCGCGAUGCUGCGGCGCGCGGCGAGCAACGCCUACUCGUGGUGGUGGGCGAGCCACAUCCGCACCACCCAGUCCAAAUGGCUCGACAACAACGUCCAAGAGAUGGAGAUAAGGGUGAAGGCCAUGAUCAAACUCAUAGAUAUAGAGGCUGAUACAUUUGCAAGGAAGGCAGACCUAUACUUCAAGAGCAGGCCCGAUCUUAUAAACCAUGUAGAGGAGACAUAUAGAUCUUACCAGGCGCUUGCUGAUAGAUAUGACCGGGUAUCAGGGGAGCUUCACAAGUCCAACCACACCAUAGCAACUGCAUUUCCGGAGCAAGUCCAGCUCUCUCUGCAAGAUGACAAUGGUGAUGGUUUCCCAAAAGGUAUCACAGGGAUUAAUAUCAACAGAGGAACCAGCGCAGCUCCAAAGAGGACGCAAACACAUAAAAAGAUCAGCUCUAAGAUGAGUAAAGACAAGGCACAAGAAGAGAUUGAGAGGCUACAGAAGAAAAUCCUUGUCUUGCAGACUGAAAAGGAAUUCUUCAAGAGCUCAUAUGAAUCUUCGCUGAACAAGUAUUUGAGCAUUGAAAGACAGGCGGCAGAGAUGCAAGAGGAGGUAUGGAGCUUGCAGGAGACUUUUAGCACCAGCGCAGUUAUUGAAGACAAUGAAGCUCGAGCUUUAAUGGCUGCACAAGCCCUUAUUUCUUGCGAGGAUAAAUUGGCUAGCUUGCAUUGUGAGCAAAAGAGAUCAUAUGAAGAGACAACCAUGGAGAUUCAAAGAGUCAUAGAUGCAAAGAAGAAGAUAACGAUUUUCAAGAGCGAGUGUGGGUAUCCUGAUGAUCAGAAGGACCUACCUAAUCACCAAGACAUAGAGUUCAGCUCUAUACCUUCAUCUAUAGAGGAUAGUGAUCUAAUUAUGAAAGACUGCAAGCUCGAGCUGCAGGAAUUAUCACAAAAGGUCAAACAAAAGUUUGAGUCGUCCUCAGAGGCGUCCGCGGUGCAUCUAGCCGGACAGGUUGAUGAAAUUGUGGAUAAGGUCAUCAGCCUAGAAAUUGCAGCUUCUUCACAAAAUGCUCAAAUCAAUAGAAUGAAAAAUGAGGCAGACGAACUACAGAAGCGCCUGGAUAGCUUAGAGGACGAGAAGGCAGCUUUGAUUGAGGAUUCUAGCAAGUUGUCUGAAAGAUUGAAGCAAGUUGAGGAGGUUCUGCAGACAAUUCAGCGGAUUGGAAAGUCUGUGCACAGUGAGAAUGGAAAUAUUCACCAGCAACUAACUGAAGUAGAUGACAGUCUUAAUGAUUUUGUAAAGAAGUUGGAUGCACAUUCCACUGAUGAAAUAGUAAAUUCAUCACAAGAUGAUUCCGGAAUUGCAUGCAAAUCAAAAGAUGAAGGAUUAUUGGAUGCAUUAGAUGACUCUAGCAAGGCACAUAAGGAAGAGCCAGAUGAAACUUUAGGGUGGCAACAACUAGAUUUGAAUGGGCUAGAGGAUAAGGAUAAAAUUCUCUUAAAAGAUUAUGCAUCCAUCCUUCGUAACUACAAAGAUACGCAGAAACAGCUUUUAGAAAUUGAGAAGAGAAAUCGAGAAUAUCAUCUCGAGGCAAUGUCAGAGAUGAAUGAGUUAAAGAGUUCCAGUGCAACAAAAGAUGAUGAGAUUCGCUCUCUCAGACGAAUGUUGAGCUCUUUACAAACCAAGCUCAACAAUUCUCUACCUCAGCGUUUUGUGGAGUCUGAAGAAUCAUCUGAAGCAAAUGCCUCUCCUAGUCUUGAAAACAAAAAUAUUGCUGAGACAGAAGAAUACAUGAAGAUACGUGAACAUGAAGAACCACAUGACCCAUCAUUGGAAGAUAAAUUCAGAGCAGAAAUUAGCAGAAUACUGGAGGAAAACCUGGACUUCUGGUUGAGAUUCAGUACAUCAUAUCAUUAUAUGCAGAAGUUCCAGAAAUCAUUUGAUAAAGCAAAAGCUGAGAUGGAUAAACUUACAGAUGCCAAAGCGCAGGAAGGCUCAGAUGCUGUGCCUUCUUGUCAGUCAGCUAGAAAACAAGAGUCAGCUGUGCUUGAAAAGAAGUUGCGUGGCUUGAGCACUGAUCUGCAGGUAUGGUUGGAAAAGAAUGUGCUGCUACAAGGGGAACUAGAGAGUAGAUUCUCAUUGCUGUGCAGCAUAGAAGAGGAGAUAUCAAAGAUCACAGCAUUGGGCCAAACUGAUGAAGCUCAUUUCACUCCUUUCCAGGCUGCAAAGUUCCAAGGAGAGGUGAGCAGUAUGAAGCAAGAGAACAGCAAGGUUACCAAAGAGCUACAAACUGGGAUGGACCAUGUGAGGAGCCUCCAAGUGGAGGUUGGGAGGGCUCUUUUGAAGCUGAGAGAGAAUAUUGAACUGUCUAUAGGAAGAAGAAACCGAACACAACAUAGCUUCAGAUCUCUGUCAAUGAAAGCUGGAGUACCUCUUCGAACUUUCCUAUUUGGUAGUAAGCCAAAGAAAGCAUCGCUCUUUUCGUGCAUGGGUCCUGUGAUGCCAAAGCCAGUUGCUGACAUGAGGGCAGGGCCUUUUGGAUGAGACUGGCAGUGCGAUCUUGGAGAAGCCUCAUGUUAUCAACAAGUCUUACUUUCAAAUGAAAAACAAGUGACAAUGACUUUCUGCAUGCAGUCAUGGAGGGCAUCUGUAAAGUGGCAUCGUUAUAGAUAAGCAUGUGAAGACUUCAUCAUGUUUGGUUGAUGCCCCUCUAAGUCAAACUGCAUCUCUUUGGUCUUUUCUGUUGACAUCAGUUAAAGAAGCUCAUGUCUGCUCCUCGUUAGCGCAUGCCUGAGCUAACAGAGGCUAUGGAUAAAUUUUAAAUCCUGGUGGGUGGUCAUGCACUACACCACCCUAACAAGAUAUGGUUUAUCGAUAUUGCGAGCUAAAGAAAUAUGAAAUGGACUGACUGGACAUGCUAAGAUGCCAGAUUUGAAUCUCAUAAAGCUCAUCCAAAUGUUGUAGGUCUGAAUCUACUUCCGAUAAAACUUCGAGGUGAAAUACAUUGCUUUAAAUCAUUUUAUCGUAUGACUAUUGAGUGGUCCUUAGCUCCUUAUUGAAAUGCUCCAUAGUUGUUUUAUCGUUCUAUAAUUGCAUAGUACUUUAAGUACACGACUGCAACAGUACUACAAAAUUGUUGCUCGAUGAGCUAGUUUAGAAGUUGUAUAUAUUGUUUAUUUUAAACAUAGUUCUGCAAGAACAGAGGCCUGAAAUGAGUGUGCAAGAUGAUGGGCGUCCCAGAAACUCCAAGCCUAACAGGUCAACUUCUGAAGCUGCUUUCAAGUCCUGCCUAUGUCUAUCCAGUUGUUCAGUUUAGGAACCUUGUAGUAUAGGACAAUCACUCUGCAUUUUUAGGUUAUAGUCAACGUUGGUUACAGAACCUUAUGAAUUAUGACUGUAUUCUUAGAUUUUUUACAGGAAAAAUGGAAACAGAAUUAAGGCAUUAUCUGCAACAGACUAUGAUUGUGUAGCUAAAUGUAGUCUGCAACUAUGCAUGAAUAAACUAAGUUGAAUGUUCCAGGCCAAAAUGAUAGAAAUUUGUAAACUUAAGGAAAUAUCUAAAUGACUACCAUGAUCAACUGACAAAUUUUUAGAUUUAAUUGUACAAGUUAUUUGUUAAAGCAUGGCUUUAAGACAUAAUUUUUAACAUGUAGACAGUUCAAGUAGCAGUAUACAUUGAAAGAUGGAAGCAUUUGGAGUAUAGCGUGAGGUUAGAAGGAUCAAUAAUUAAGUUAAAUCAAUAAAAGAAUACUAGUCCAUGCAAGUACACUAACUGACUUACAUCUCCUUUUGACAACUUAAAAAGAAAGAUCACCUGUUCUAGUCACACCGUGCUUGUUGCAAUUCCAUGCACGCGUUUGUUUCAUGAGUAAACAGUCUUAGCUAACCCAUCAUCUUAACCACCCUGUUCAGUACUUUUCUUCUGCCUUAAGAGGCGAGUGAUGGGAUUUCCUCUUCUUUUUUUUCCCUAGUCCUCUCAUAUAAUGCAAAUCGUGCAACAAUGAACCCUAUAAGAUCUUUGAAAAUGGCAUAUAUACAACUAUACAAGUAUCUCUGUAUCAAACUGUAUUGGAAUAUUGGAGGGAAAGCAUCUAGUUUUCUUUUAAAAAAGCAUCUCUAGUUUAUCUAAUAGCAGCACUACAUACAUCUCAUUCUCAUGGGCUACGUACAUGGACGUUGGUACAGCACAAAAGAUAAGGAACACUAGGUGGAGCACUGGAGCUCUAGCCGAUUCGAUGUUAAAGUUUGGCAUGUUGAGACAGGUGAUCAGAGUCUGCUUCUGGCAAGCAGCAUAUCUUUGUCUAACUACAUAAGUGGAUUUAAUUGGCAAUAUGUGACGUGAAGUCAAAGGUCAAAACAUGGGGGUUCUAAAAGAUUGGUGCUGUGUUUGACAGGUGCUGUCAAAGUUUGUCAACAAGUGUAUUUGGGUAAGGCCUUAUUUCUGUUUCUGUUUGUCGAUUUGCUUAGAAGUUUUCAAUUACCUAAUUUCUCUCAUUUUAUGGUGUGCUUGCUUAAAAUUGGAAACACGCAUACGGCAUACCCAGUGAAUCAUCUUGUUUAUGUUUCCUGCCGUGAAAACAAAAUUGCUCUGAACGUACUUGCCGACGUUCCAUACACGCAAAAAUAUCUUUCAGUAAGCUGUACCUCCGUACCCUAUUGAUCUGAUUUUAUACAGAAAGGUCCCUGGCA